UCUUACGGGAGGCAGCAGUGGGGAUUCUUGCGCAAUGGGCGAAAGCCUGACGCAGCGACGCCGCGUGAGCGAUGAAGGCCUUCGGGUUGUAAAGCUCUGUGGGGCGAGACGAAUAAGUGCAGCCUAAUACGUUGCAUGAUGACGGUAUCGCCUUAGCAAGCACCGGCUAACUCUGUGCCAGCAGCCGCGGUAAGACAGAGGGUGCAAACGUUGUUCGGAAUUACUGGGCGUAAAGCGAGUGUAGGCGGUUUGAUAAGUCGGGUGUGAAAGCCCCGGGCUCAACCCGGGAAGUGCACUCGAAACUGACAGGCUAGAGUAUGGGAGAGGUUGGUGGAAUUCUCGGUGUAGAGGUGAAAUUCGUAGAUAUCGAGAGGAACACCGGUGGCGAAGGCGGCCAACUGGACGAAUACUGACGCUGAGACUC
rnacentral:rRNA from 1 species